rnacentral:rRNA from 1 species
GAUGAACGCUGGCGGCGUGCCUAAUACAUGCAAGUCGAGCGAACAGAUGAGGAGCUUGCUCCUCUGACGUUAGCGGCGGACGGGUGAGUAACACGUGGAUAACCUACCUAUAAGACUGGGAUAACUUCGGGAAGCCGGAGCUAAUACCGGAUAAUAUAUUGAACCGCAUGGUUCAAUAGUGAAAGACGGUUUUGCUGUCACUUAUAGAUGGAUCCGCGCCGCAUUAGCUAGUUGGUAAGGUAACGGCUUACCAAGGCAACGAUGCGUAGCCGACCUGAGAGGGUGGUCGGCCACACUAGAACUGAGACACGGUCCAGGGGCCUACGGGAGGCAGCAGUAGGGAAUCGUCCGCAGUGGGCGAAAGCCUGACGGAGCAACGCCGCGUGAGUGAUGAAGGUCUUCGGAUCGUAAAACUCUGUUAUUAGGGAAGAACAAAUGUGUAAGUAACUAUGCACGUCUUGACGGUACCUAAUCAGAAAGCCACGGCUAACUACGUG